rnacentral:rRNA from 1 species
UACGAAGGGGGCUAGCGUUGUUCGGAAUUACUGGGCGUAAAGCGUGCGUAGGCGGUUCGUUAAGUUCGUUGUGAAAGCCCCGGGCUCAACCUGGGAACUGCCUUUGAUACUGUCGAUCUGGAGUAUGGAAGAGGUGAGUGGAAUUCCGAGUGUAGAGGUGAAAUUCGUAGAUAUUCGGAGGAACACCAGUGGCGAAGGCGGCUCACUGGUCCAUUACUGACGCUGAGGUGCGAAAGCGUGGGGAGCAAACAGG